AUGCAAAGAACUUUGAAAAGAGAGUUAAAGAGUACCUGAAAUUGCUGAAAGGGAAGCGAAGGAAACCAGUAUCACGCGCAUUCAUAUUUCUAGUGCCGUUUACGGCGCUGGCGUUGUGCGUGUGCGUGGGUCAGCAUCGGUUCACAUCCCGCCUCAAACAGCGUCGCACGAGGUGUCCCCUUUGUGGGGAGUUAUACGUGUGAUGCAGUGCUGCGGGUAGGAUCGAGGCGAAGUCACUUUGUGCUCGUAAUGCUGACGAAAUGGUUUUCUUUACCCCGUCUUGAAACACGGACCAAGGAGUCUAACAUAUGUGCGAGUAUAGGGGUGAUAAACCCCCGUGCGCAAUGAAAGUGACAGUGGUUGGACCCUUUCGGGGCACAAUCCGCCGGCCACAAUCCUUCGGGAGAAAGGUCUGAGUGUGAGCAUACAUGUUGGGACCCGAAAGAUGGUGACCUAUGCCUGAAUAGGGUGAAGCCAGGGGAAACUCUGGUGGAGGCUCGUAGCGAUUCUGACGUGCAAAUCGAUCGUCAAAUUUGGGUAUAGGGGCGAAAGACUAAUCGAACCAUCUAGUAGCUGGUUCCCUCCGAAAUUUCCCUCAGGAUAGCUGCAAUCGAACGUCAAUUUUAUGA
rnacentral:rRNA from 1 species